UGGGCGUAAGGGCUCGCAGGCGGUUUCUUAAGUCUGAUGUGAAAGCCCCCGGCUCAACCGGGGAGGGUCAUUGGAAACUGGGGAACUUGAGUGCAGAAGAGGAGAGUGGAAUUCCACGUGUAGCGGUGAAAUGCGUAGAGAUGUGGAGGAACACCAGUGGCGAAGGCGACUCUCUGGUCUGUAACUGACGCUGAGGAGCGAAAGCGUGGGGAGCGAACAGGAUUAGAUACCCUGGUAGUCCACGCCGUAAACGAUGAGUGCUAAGUGUUAGGGGGUUUCCGCCCCUUAGUGCUGCAGCUAACGCAUUAAGCACUCCGCCUGGGGAGUACGGUCGCAAGACUGAAACUCAAAGGAAUUGACGGGGGCCCGCACAAGCGGUGGAGCAUGUGGUUUAAUUCGAAGCAACGCGAAGAACCUUACCAGGUCUUGACAUCCUCUGACAAUCCUAGAGAUAGGACGUCCCCUUCGGGGGCAGAGUGACAGGUGGUGCAUGGUUGUCGUCAGCUCGUGUCGUGAGAUGUUGGGUUAACUCCCGCAACG
rnacentral:rRNA from 1 species